GCUGGGCGUGGUGGUGCACACCUGUAGUCCCAGCUACUUGGGAGGCUGAGGCAGGGGAAUCGCUUGAACCCGGGAGGUGGAGAUUGCAGUGAGCCGAGGUCACACCACUGCACUCCAGCCUGGGUGACAGAGCGAGACUCCGUCUCAA
rfam:Homo sapiens chromosome 15 genomic contig, GRCh38 reference assembly alternate locus group ALT_REF_LOCI_1.